AGUGGCCAGCUAUUAGGAACUCUACUCACUCUUGCCAAUUUUCUAGUGACUGCUUGUGUUAUCGCUGUCUGAAAAAUAGGGGUAUUUUUUUUUUUUUGACCAAGAAAAAACAAGAUGCAUUUGGUCAUCAAAAGCAAGCCUUUCAGAGAGGGCGAUUCAGAGUGUGGUGGAGAGCAAAUGCAUGCUUGUUAAAGCCACAGCCAUUCGCUCCUUUGCCAAGCUCUGUUAUUCCAGAAACAGCUGCUCUGAAGGUUGGCUGAGGUCUUGUUUAGAGAAUCAAUUAGCCAAAGAAGUUUAGGCCAGUGAAGAAUGUCGCUCAAGUAUAGAAAGAUUUGGAAAACACAUAUUUUUGUGUUUCCUGCAGGAAAACUUGCUCAUGUUCUGCACAGCUAAUAUGCCAUGUAACUUCACAAAGAAAUGAAGCAGUCAGGAUGGGUUUCAUGGAUGGCUUUAUUAGCAAAGACGCCGACCAAAUGAAAACUGGAGCCCAACCAAUGAUGAGAAAUAGCCCAAAGAUUCCUGGGACCGAUCACAGUCCUCAGGAGUACCUGAGUUCAAUGCCCAGUUUCAACUCCUGACUAGGUUCCUGCU
rnacentral:lncRNA from 1 species